CGACGACCGAGCUCCAUCAGCAAACUGAUGAACCUCCUUUGUAGAUCUACCCUAAAUGUAAAUUAUUCUUAGCUCCCAAUACUCAACAUUUGAUAGUAGAUUAUGGCAUUGAGAACUUUAUUGUUGGCUUCCACUAUUUGUUUGUGGUGCUUCUGUUUUCUUCUCCACACCUUUCUUUUCUUCCUAACAUUAAGGCAUCUUGUUUUUCUGUUUGCCUUUCUGUUUCAGAGUCCUAACAAAG
rnacentral:misc_RNA from 1 species